rnacentral:rRNA from 1 species
UGAGCAAUCUGCCCUUCUCAUCGGAAAAAGCGUUGGAAACGACGUCUAAUGCCGAAUACGACCUCCUUCCACAUGAUCGGAGGUGGAAAGCUCCGGCGGAGAAGGAUGAGCUCGCGGCCUAUCAGCUAGUUGGCGAGGUAACGGCUCACCAAGGCAACGACGGGUAGCUGGUCUGAGAGGAUGGCCAGCCACAUUGGGACUGAGAUACGGUCCAGACCUCUACGGGAGG